UCGAACGGACUUAACAUGAAACCUAGUGAUUGUUAAGUUAGUGGCGGACGGGCCAGUAACGCGUGGAUAACCUGCCGUAUGCGGGGGGAUAACAGUUGGAAACAGCUGCUAAUACCGCAUAAGCGCACAGUACCGCAUGGUACGGUGUGAAAAGAUUUAUCGGCAUACGAUGGAUCCGCGUCCGAUUAGCCAGUUGGCGGGGUAACGGCCCACCAAAGCGACGAUCGGUAGCCGGCCUGAGAGGGCGGACGGCCACAUUGGGACUGAGACACGGCCCAAACUCCUACGGGAGGCAGCAGUGGGGAAUAUUGCACAAUGGGGGAAACCCUGAUGCAGCGACGCCGCGUGAGUGAAGAAGUAUCUCGGUAUGUAAAGCUCUAUCAGCAGGGAAGAAAAUGACGGUACCUGACUAAGAAGCCCCGGCUAACUACGUGCCAGCAGCCGCGGUAAUACGUAGGGGGCAAGCGUUAUCCGGAUUUACUGGGUGUAAAGGGAGCGUAGACGGCGCUGCAAGUCCGGAGUGAAAGCCCAUGGCUUAACCAUGGUACUGCUCUGGAAACUGUGGAGCUUGAGUGCGGGAGGGGCAGGCGGAAUUCCUAGUGUAGCGGUGAAAUGCGUAGAUAUUAGGAGGAACACCGGCGGCGAAGGCGGCCUGCUGGACCGUAACUGACGUUGAGGCUCGAAAGCGUGGGGAGCAAACAGGAUUAGAUACCCUGGUAGUCCACGCCGUA
rnacentral:rRNA from 1 species